rnacentral:lncRNA from 13 species
AUGCCACUGCACCCAGCUAAUUUUUGUAUUUUUGAUAGAGAUGGGUUUUUGUUGUGUUAGCCAGGCUGGUCUUGAACUCCUGACCUCAGGUGAUCCACCCACCUAGGCCUCCCAAAGUGUUGGGAUUACAGGUGUGAGCCACCACACCCAGCCUGGUUCUUUUUAUUUGAUAAUGGUAUUAGAAACCAAGAUCUGGGCAUUGAGUGUGCUCAUUGUUACUGGGGUGUGACCGCUUUUAGGCCCUACCAGUGAACAGAGCUAGGAAAUAUAUACACGUGUACAAACCCAGGUAGAAUAUGUAUCUACACUUAUUUCUGUAUCUAUCCAUCUCUUCCUAUAUUAAACUAAACAUGAAAUCAUGCUGAUGUCCCCAAUUCUAAUCCAGUAUCACAGGGUCCUUUCUAGCCUUGCUCUCUUGCUUAUAUAUCACUGCCUUUACCAACAGUGUGAAACCUGGCUCUCACCACCCUUUAUCCAUUUACUUAUUUUUCAAUUUCAGGAUAUGUAAAAAGAAGUUUCAGAUUUGUUAACCUACACCUUCAUUAUGUAGGUCUGUUUUGGGGUGUGUAUUCCAUUCCACCAGGCUAUUUGUUUGUUCUUUUGCCAUUGCCAUUCUAAUCGGACUAUUGUUAACUUGGAGAUAUGUCUUCAUAUAUAAGUAAGAAGUGCAUCAAAUAAUUCAUUUAAUUCUCACAUGGACUUGCAACAUCUCAUAUCGUCUUGGAUUCUUGGUUAACCACUUUAUGGCUGAGGAAUUUAUCAGAUACUUGAACUGUCCCGAUCUUGGUAAAUGCCACACUAAAACAUUCGUCACUAAAGCGAUUCAAACUCACAUCAGAAGACAGAAAGCAACUCCACAACUCUCCUCUCUAGAUUGUGAUCAUAUCAACGAGCUUUUAUCUGGAUGAAAUAUCAUGGGGUAAACCAACAAAUAACUUCAUCUUGUGUACAAUAAUUGGUAUGCCUCACAUUCUGAGCAUCCAUGAUAAACAUGCUUUAAUAUGAAUUUGAACUUGAUAUGGAUUCAGAUUGAGCUUGUCAUUUUACCUCUUUCCAGAACUUGAAUUCAACCUUAUAAAAUUAAAAUGCUUAAGGAACAACACAUACACCUAACAGGUGUGAAUAAGAAAUGUAUCCACUGGAGAUGAACUGGCUUAUAGAGGUUGAAUCCUUCCUGGGUCUAAUUUACGAUAAAGCAGGGGUCAGUUCACAUUUCAUAGUCUCAGAAACCUGCAUCCAGGCUGGGCACAGUGGCUCACACCUAUAAUCUCAGCACUUUGGGAGGCCGAGGCGGGUGAAUCAUAAGGUCAGGAGCUCGAGACCAGUCUGGCCAAGAUGGAAACUCCAUCUCUACUAAAAAUACAAAAAUUAGCCAAGCGCAGUGGCAGGUGUCUGUAAUCCCAGCUACUUGGGAGGCUGAAGAAGGAGAAUCACUUGGAUCCAGGAAGCAGAGGUUACAGUGAGCUGAGAUCCUGCCACUGCACUCUAGCCUGGGCAACAGAGAAAGACUCUGUCUCAAAAAAAGAAACCUGCAUCCUGAGGCUUUUUGACAGCAUUCCAAUAAUUAACCUACCCUAGACAGACAUUAAACAAGCUCAAAACCUGCAUCUAUGUAUUCAUAAUUACAGGCAAUUAUUUACCAAAAAAAUAUUUAAUGAACCCUGGUGUUUUUAGCCUCAGGAAUGAAGCACUGGACUUCUGUUUUGUACUGUUAUCUGGUGCACAUUGUAGCAAAAUAAUUUGACAAACAAAUGAAUAUUUAGCAUCACUAGUAGAUGAUAAAGGCAAUCAAAGGAAAUCAAGAAAGGUCAGGAGACAGUGAGGUAGAAACAGGAAGAGUCAUGUAAAGUGACGAUCUGAGCCACGAGCUCGGGGCAAAGAGUUUCAAAGAGAGGGAACAAGUACUCA